CACUUGACUGUCAUCAUCAUCCUCAUCACCCUCGGUCACAAUCUCCAGUAUCCCAGGCCCCCCAUCAAAGUCUGCAUCAUCCAUGAUAAAGUCUCCGUCCUCUUCAUCAUCAAGCUCACUCAAACUAUCAUCAUCAUCCUCAUUGCUCAUAUCAUCAGUGUCACUCUCGCCAUCCCCAUCCAGGUCUGGACCCAGCAUAGGAU
rnacentral:misc_RNA from 1 species